UGUAGGUAUCUAUGCAUUUGAAGAAGCAGUCACCUCAUCUAGACUUUAUGGACUGACUUUGUGUUUGGGAAACAUUUCCAGUUUGGUUGAGAAGGAAUUCGGACAUUUUUCUGUAGCCUGUCUGAAUUGACAGCCUCCAGCUGUGUUGCUAAGCAGUCUGUGGAUGGUCAUGAAGUUAUCUAUAAAAGAGAGCAAUUCACCCAGUUUAACAACCAACGGUCCUGUUACGUGGCAUCUGCAUGGUGUUGUCAUCUUUCUAGUAAGAAUGUGGAAAUGGAUAUGGAUACGCAUUAAUAAUGUUGGAGUUCCACGUGAGGUAAACAGGAGCUGUUUUGUUUUAGAUAUUGAAUGACUAUUUGAAAUUUCACCUCCUACACCAAGACUUCGUUUUUCACACAGUAUGCCAGACACAAAAUCAUCCCGAGAUGAAUAUUUGAAGUCAUUAACGAUGGUGAUUGUGCAACAAACUCUAAGAAAGAAACGGAGUAGAUUUAUGUCUCAGUGAUUUCUGAAUUUUUUGUGUUCUGCUACAAAUGUCAAAAACAUGCAGUAAAGAUUAAGCUCUGUCAGUUUUGCAUAAUUGGAUGGAACUGAGAAGACCUGGGUUGUAUCUUUGCUAUGAUUCUAGUGUAACUCAUUGUGCAAAUCAUUUUUAACCUCUUUGGACCUGUUACUUUAUUAGUAAGAUAAAGGGACUGCGUUGGUGGAUCUCUGCAAUCUUAUUCUGAAAUGGUAUGACUCUAUUUAAGACUAAUUUCUUUCUCAAUAAUCUUUGGCCUUUUUUGGUAUCAAACUUUUUUUUCCUUUAGCAUAGAUUCUUUUUGCUUUGGGGGCUACACAAAGUCUAAGAGAGUUGCAGAAUUUGGCCCUCUUGGGGAACAGCAGGUCUAGCCAAGCUGCCCAAGUGGGAGGCUCUUGGAAGUCAGGAGGCAGCAUGAGAUCUGGGGUGUCUGGAGGUGUAGUGGAGAAAAAGAAAGGGGUGAAAGCCACUGAGGAUAAACUUUACUUGGUUCACUGUUUUGCCCACGGCUCUGUGUGAUUGAUUUCUGUGGGAGAGAAAUUUGAGGAAGUAGAAUCAUGGAAGCAUAGAAAUGUUAUAGUGAUUCUACUUUCUUUUGUCAUAAUAAAACCGUUUCUAGCAACUAGUGCUCUGCUGAGCCAUAUUGGAACCAGAGGCAAAAGGAUACUAAUAUUACCUUUA
rnacentral:lncRNA from 1 species